GUCGAGUCGGCCUGCGCGGAAGAUGUAACGGGGCUAAGUAGUAAACCGAAGCUGCGGCAAUGUGCUUUUGCACAUUGGGUAGGGGAGCGUUCUGUAAGCGGUUGAAGGUGUGUGGUAACGCAUGCUGGACGUAUCAGAAGUGCGAAUGCUGACAUGAGUAACGAUAAAGGGGGUGAAAAACCUCCUCGCCGGAAGACCAAGGGUUCCUGUCCAACGUUAAUCGGGGCAGGGUAAGUCGACCCCUAAGGCGAGGCCGAAAGGCGUAGUCGAUGGGAAACGGGUUAAUAUUCCCGUACUUCUUACAAUUGCGAUGGGGGGACGGAGAAGGCUAGGUGGGCCUGGCGACGGUUGUCCAGGUUCAAGUGCGUAGGCUUAAGAGUUAGGUAAAUCCGGCUCUUUCUAAGGCUGAGACACGACGUCGAGCACCUACGGGUGUGAAGUCAUUGAUGCCAUGCUUCCAGGAAAAGCCUCUAAGCUUCAGAUUGUAAGGAAUCGUACCCCAAACCGACACAGGUGGUCGGGUAGAGAAUACCAAGGCGCUUGAGAGAACUCGGGUGAAGGAACUAGGCAAAAUGGUACCGUAACUUCGGGAGAAGGUACGCUCU
rnacentral:rRNA from 1 species